AUACAUGGCAAGUCGAGCGGACAGAAAGGGAGCUUGCUCCCGGAUGUUAGCGGCGGACGGGUGAGUAACACGUGGGUAACCUGCCUGUAAGACUGGGAUAACUCCGGGAAACCGGAGCUAAUACCGGAUAGUUCCUUGAACCGCAUGGUUCAAGGAUGAAAGACGGUUUCGGCUGUCACUUACAGAUGGACCCGCGGCGCAUUAGCUAGUUGGUGGGGUAAUGGCUCACCAAGGCGACGAUGCGUAGCCGACCUGAGAGGGUGAUCGGCCACACUGGGACUGAGACACGGCCCAGACUCCUACGGGAGGCAGCAGUAGGGAAUCUUCCGCAAUGGACGAAAGUCUGACGGAGCAACGCCGCGUGAGUGAUGAAGGUUUUCGGAUCGUAAAGCUCUGUUGUUAGGGAAGAACAAGUGCGAGAGUAACUGCUCGCACCUUGACGGUACCUAACCAGAAAGCCACGGCUAACUACGUGCCAGCAGCCGCGGUAAUACGUAGGUGGCAAGCGUUGUCCGGAAUUAUUGGGCGUAAAAGGGCUCGCAGGCGGUUUUCUUAAGUCUGAUGUGAAAGCCCCCCGGGCUCAACCSGGGGRAGGGUCMUUUGRAAACUGGGAAAAUUUGRKUGSCRAAAAAAGGAAAAAGGGRAAAUCCCMCGGGUKMCGGGGGAAAUGCCRWAAAKUUG
rnacentral:rRNA from 1 species